CUGCGAGAAAUCUCAUCUCCGCAAAAUCCAAUUGAAAUCUGCCGACUUUACUUCUUCAAUCAGGGCCGUCCAUUCAGCAGACAGAAAUGCAGCUUCGAGAAUUCCUCCUCAAAGACCAGGGCUGUCAAAUCCCCCGGGGAAAACACAGGAGCUGUGUCCGGAGUUUCUGCCUCGUAGAGUAGGUGACUGACAUUGUUGGAGGUGCUCUUCGUUGGAGGCGUUGCCUGGAUCAUCUGAUACUGUCACUUUGCAAUGACGAGAACAUGUUUAGAGGGAUGGAGCCACUUCUCUUAUGAAUCCUUUGAAUUGGUUUCUAUGAGAUUUUCAAUCUGGAUAUGCCACCAUAUGCUGUUGUGGAUGAGGUGAGAAUGUAAGGCUUGCAAAGGUAGCACUUAGGCCUGUUAUGGGUAACAUGUUGAACGGAAUGCUAUGGAAGCUACAUUUACUCAAGAAAAAAAAAACUCACUUCCACUGCCCAAACUGGAAGGCGAUGAACGUGCAAAAGCACGCUCUCUAGCAACUAGUUAUUCACAUCUAGUGGUACGUUUGUCAUUGCACCUUCCAUUCUUUUUUGAAGAAAUUUUAUUUCAGAAAGAAAGGUUUUCACAUUUUCAUUCACUAAAUUUAUUAUUGAGAAAUUCUACCAUGUCCGCAUGCUUCAUGGAGUUCUGCAAAGUGUACAUCAGAAUAUGUCCAAUGUACGUAUGGUACCUGUGCAUGGUGAUCAGCCUAUCGAUUUUGUGGACCCAAAAAGCAAUGGUACCUGACUGUUCUAGGCUUCUAGCUAGACAUCUGCUCAGUGGCCUGAAGAGGACAAUUAACCCAAAAAGAGCAACUGUACAUGUUCAGUGAGAAAAACUUGCAAUAAUUUGGUGGUCAAAAUUGUUGAAAAAUGGUUAUGCCGAUAUUCUAACCAUAUUGUGGCCAAUGAGAUCAAUGGUACCGGUCAGCACAGACGUUUGCCAUGUGUAAGGACACUUCACAAAUGUGUGUUUCUAUGGCAAAGCUGUCUUGAUGUCAUAAACAAAACACUCUGAAUCAUGCUUCACCACAAGUGUGUGUCUUUAACUCUAUAUAGCAUUCUAUCUGUAAUAUCAAAGCCUGAUCUCUUUUAUGUGUAAACUGAAGAACUUCCACUUUUUGCUAUAGUUGUGCAUAUAACAAGGCUGAAUAAUGUUAGAUGAGGAGUCAUCAUCUGCAACUGAAAUGUUGCUUGCAACCUCAUCCAUUGCUUAUUUAGCAGUGUGUAGGACAUUCGAGCAGUUAUGUAUGCUCCAUCACGAAGAUCACCUGUCACACAAAUCAGGUCUGUUGCUCAUCAGGCGAACACCCUAUAUGGAAACAACACAUGAUGUUCUGAUUCAACUUGUACUUGUGUCCCACCUGAUGGCUGGAUUGGCCUGAUUAUUGUCCUGGGUGAUCAUGGUCGUGCCGCCUUAAACAUGGCCCAGAUUUCCUAAGUCCUACAUGUGUGUUACAAUGGCAUUUCAGCGAAUUUCCAUGCGAUGAUCACAUGAAACUGGUUUUGGUGAUCAGUCAUCAUGUCAAUUAAUUAUUAUGGAGAUGCUCAUGCUCAAUUUUCUGUUAUCCAGUGGAUGGUUAGUCAGUGGAUAAAAUAUCUUGGGUCAGAGGAAGACACGAGGCUUAUGAUUUGGAAUAAUAGUGAUCCCAGUUUCAGCCUCAGGGAAAACAGUUCGAAAGGUUUUACAAGAGCUGACCUUGUUGAGCAGCUGACAAUAAUGAAGGUAAGCAGGGAUUGAAUGUGAGACCUCAAUGUUGAAAUGCACUGUCUACCAUUGAGCUACGGGCUUGAAUCAUGGAAAAGACAUGAUUAUAAAGACAUUGUGAAUUAACUUUGAAUUUUGGAGGUGCAUUUAUGGUAAGGUGAAGCGUUGGUAUGCCUUUAUUUACCUGAUAAAGUUGGAUGCUUGCUUAGUCAUGAUUUCAUCCAUGUGACAGAUAUGAAAGAUGGGUGAGUGAACAAUUCUUGCUUAAUAAAGUUGGAGUUUUGUAGGAAGUUCAGCAGCAUCAGCUAAAAUCAAAUCAACCUAAAUUCAUCUGGGAAUUGGUUUACAGAAUUGAACUUAUAGGGCUUGAAGUAACAGCUCUUUAUU